UAGGGAAUUUUCGGCAAUGGACGAAAGUCUGACCGAGCAACGCCGCGUGAACGAAGAAGUAUUUCGGUAUGUAAAGUUCUUUUAUUAGUGACGAAAAAACAAAUUGACGGUAGCUAAUGAAUAAGCCCCGGCUAACUACGUGCCAGCAGCCGCGGUAAUACGUAGGGGGCAAGCGUUAUCCGGAAUUAUUGGGCGUAAAGGGUGCGUAGGUGGCACUAUAAGUCUUUGGUGAAAAUGCGGGGCUCAACCCCGUAUGGCCAAGGAAACUGUAGAGCUAGAGUAUGGUAGAGGUGAGUGGAAUUCCAUGUGUAGCGGUAAAAUGCGUAAAUAUAUGGAGGAACACCAGUGGCGAAGGCGGCUCACUAGACCAAGACUGACACUGAGGCACGAAAGCGUGGGGAGCAAACAGGA
rnacentral:rRNA from 1 species